UGCAUGGUGCCCACGCCAACCGAUACGGGCUCUGGUGGUGCUGUGGGCUCCCUGCAGCAGUUACUUCCUGGUGGUGGUGCGCUCUUCACGAUCGCCCUUUUUUGAUUUUGUGUGCGUGUGUUUGCAGUUUCAGGGGUGAUUCUUUUGAGGACCUCCCCAUCCUUUUCUCCUUUUGGUCGCCCUGCCGCACGGUCUAACCUGCCCCGUUUCACCCAUCUUGCCGAGUGGUUUAUUUUGGUGUGUGUGUUUAACUGGUGUGUGACUGGUUCGAUUUAUAUUUUGUUCUCAGAUCUUCUGGGGUGUAAUUUCCCAGGUGGCGUUGUCGCAGCUACAAUCUCCAUAGUUUACACCUCGCCACGCUUCCAUUUCUUGCAAGAUGAAGGAACAGAUCUGUUUUUUGGUGGAUGUUCUUGGCAAAUGAGAGGAGUUUGUUAACAUGCAUUUUAGCAAAUGUUAUUUAAAAUCUGACAAAUCUUUUGUGUGCACUCUAAACUAUGACCACCAUUUGCCUCAUACAGUGUGUCCUGUUUAGUGAGUUUGCAGGCUGUAGAAGAACCAAUAUGUUUUUAACUUCCAGGACAGAUCCUUGCAACAUUAAGUUAUCAUGCUGCAGCAUGAGGUGUAGGCAGUGGAUGUAUGGCACAAUAGGCCUAAGGAUCUUGUUGCUGUAUCUCCAUGCAUUCAAAACUGCCAUCAAUAUAAUGUGCUCUUCUCUUUGUU